AAACAGAUUAGAUCUGGUAGUCACGCCCUAAACAGUCAAUUAGUUGUUGGGGGUUUGAAUCCUGUAGCGUAGCUACGCGUGAAAUGCCGCCUGGGGAGUACGCGCAAGGUUAAAACUCAAAGGAAUUGACGGGGACCCGCACAAGCGGUGGAUGAUGGAUUAAUUCGAUGCACGGAAGCCUUCGCUCUUACAUUCAGGAAGUCUCAGAAUGAGGCCAAAGGACCUGAACCAGGUUGCAUGGCUUCAGCUCGUGUCGGAUAUUUGUAAGUCCCAGAGCGCAACCCUUGUCAUUAGUGCCAUCAUAAGUUGGGCCUUAAUGAGACCGUCAACCGAGGAAGGUGGGGAUGACGUCAAGUCCUCAUGGCCCUAUGACAGGUUCACACGUCAACAAUGGUGGUACAGAGGGUAGAACCCGGGGGAGCCAUUCCAAAGCGAUCCGUAGUCAUGGAUCAGCCUCUGCAAUCUCUGACUGUGAAUGUCUGGAACCGCUAAAUGAGCAG
rnacentral:rRNA from 1 species